GCGUGAGCGAUGAAGGCCUUCGGGUCGUAAAGCUCUGUGGGGAGAGACGAAGAAAGCCCGUGAAGAGCGGGCCUUGACGGUAUCUCCUUAGCAAGCACCGGCUAACUCCGUGCCAGCAGCCGCGGUAAUACGGAGGGUGCAAACGUUGCUCGGAAUCAUUGGGCGUAAAGCGCACGUAGGCGGCGAAGCAAGUUGGGUGUGAAAGCCCUGGGCUCAACUCAGGAAGUGCAUUCAAAACUGCUUCGCUUGAAUCUCGGAGGGGGUCAGAGAAUUCCCGGUGUAGAGGUGAAAUUCGUAGAUAUCGGGAGGAAUACCAGUGGCGAAGGCGCUGACCUGGACGAAGAUUGACGCUGAGGUGCGAAAGCGCGGGGAGCAAACAGGAUUAGAUACCCUGGUAGUCCGCGCUGUAAACGAUGAGUGCUAGACGGUGGAGGUAUUGACCCCUUCGCUGCCGAAGCUAACGCGUUAAGCACUCCGCCUGGGGAGUACGGUCGCAAGACUAAAACUCAAAGGAAUUGACGGGGGC
rnacentral:rRNA from 1 species